rnacentral:rRNA from 1 species
GACAGAGGAUGCAAGCGUUAUCCGGAAUGAUUGGGCGUAAAGCGUCUGUAGGUGGCUUUUUAAGUCCGCCGUCAAAUCCCAGGGCUCAACCCUGGACAGGCGGUGGAAACUACCAAGCUGGAGUACGGUAGGGGCAGAGGGAAUUUCCGGUGGAGCGGUGAAAUGCGUAGAGAUGUGGAGGAACACCGAUGGCGAAGGCAGCCCCCUGGGUCAAGAUUGACGCUCAUGCA